rnacentral:rRNA from 1 species
UACGGAGGGGGCUAGCGUUGUUCGGAAUUACUGGGCGUAAAGCGCACGUAGGCGGCUUUGUAAGUUAGAGGUGAAAGCCCGGGGCUCAACCCCGGAACUGCCUUUAAGACUGCAUCGCUUGAAUCCGGGAGAGGUGAGUGGAAUUCCGAGUGUAGAGGUGAAAUUCGUAGAUAUUCGGAAGAACACCAGUGGCGAAGGCGGCUCACUGGACCGGUAUUGACGCUGAGGUGCGAAAGCUAGGGGAGCAAACAGG